AUUGAACGCUGGCGGCAGGCCUAACACAUGCAAGUCGAGCGAGCGGCGGACGGGUGAGUAAGGUAUGGGGACUGUCCGUUAGAGGGGGAUAACUACUGGAAACGGUAUCUAAUACCGCAUACUAUCGGAUAACCCAUAUGGGAUUAGCUAGUUGGGGAGGUAAUGGCCCACCAAGGCGACGAUCUCUAGCUGGUCUGAGAGGAUGAUCAGCCACACUGGGACUGCGACACGGCCCAGACUCCUACGGAGGCAGCAGUAGGGAAUAUUGCACAAUGGGCGAAAGCCUGAUGCAGCAAUGCCGCGUGUAUGAAGAAGGCCCUAGGGUUGUAAAGUACUGUCAGUCGGGAGGCGUUACCGACAGAAGAAGCACCGGCUAACUCCGUGCCAGCAGCCGCGGUAAUUC
rnacentral:rRNA from 1 species